AACUGAUACUACCUGCGGGAACCUGCGGAGGGAUCAUUAUAGAGUUUUUAACUCCCAAACCCAUGUGAACUUACCUUUGUUGCCUCGGCGGAGCCUACCCGGUACCUACCCUGUAGCGCCCCGCCGGUGGACUUCUAAACUAUUGUUAUUUUAAUGAUAUCUGAGAGUCUUAUUUUAAUAAGUCAAAACUUUCAACAACGGAUCUCU
rnacentral:misc_RNA from 1 species